AUCUUCAGGGCAGGGUGCAAGUCCCGACCGGCGGUAUAGCCCGCGAGCCUUUUGGCUGAUUCGGUGCAAGUCCGAAGCCGACAGUAUAGUCUGGAUGAAAGAAGAG
rnacentral:ncRNA from 1 species